AUACGGAGGGUGCAAGCGUUAAUCGGAAUUACUGGGCGUAAAGCGUACGUAGGCGGUUAUUUAAGUCAGAUGUGAAAGCCCCGGGCUUAACUUGGGAACUGCAUUUGAAACUGGGUAACUAGAGUUUAGUAGAGGGGAGUGGAAUUUCAGGUGUAGCGGUGAAAUGCGUAGAGAUCUGAAGGAACACCAGUGGCGAAGGCGACUCCCUGGACUAAAACUGACGCUGGGGUACGAAAGCGUGGGUAGCGAACAGGAUUAGAAACCCUAGUAGUCC
rnacentral:rRNA from 1 species